UACGUAGGGGGCAAGCGUUGUCCGGAUUUAUUGGGCGUAAAGAGCGUGUAGGCGGCUAGAUAGGUCCGUUGUGAAAACUCGAGGCUCAACCUCGAGACGUCGAUGGAAACCAUCUGGCUGGAGUCCGGAAGAGGAGAGUGGAAUUCCUGGUGUAGCGGUGAAAUGCGCAGAUAUCAGGAAGAACACCCGUGGCGAAGGCGGCUCUCUGGUACGUGACUGACGCUGAGACGCGAAAGCGUGGGGAGCAAACAGG
rnacentral:rRNA from 1 species